rnacentral:rRNA from 1 species
UACGUAGGGGGCCAGCGUUGUCCGGAAUCAUUGGGCGUAAAGCGCGCGUAGGCGGCCAGAUAAGUCCGGUGUGAAAGUCAAAGGCUCAACCUUUGAAUGCCGCUGGAAACUGCCUGGCUUGAGUCCGGAAGGGGCGAGUGGAAUUCCUGGUGUAGCGGUGAAAUGCGCAGAUAUCAGGAGGAACACCAAUGGCGAAGGCAGCUCGCUGGAACGGUACUGACGCUGAGGGACGAAAGCUAGGGGAGCGAACGGG